rnacentral:rRNA from 1 species
GUCCACACCGUAAACGAUGAGCACUAGGUGUCGGGGUCGCAAGACUUCGGUGCCGCAGUUAACGCAUUAAGUGCUCCGCCUGGGGAGUACGUACGCAAGUAUGAAACUCAAAGGAAUUGACGGGGACCCGCACAAGCAGCGGAGCAUGUGGUUUAAUUCGAAGCAACGCGAAGAACCUUACCAGGUCUUGACAUACUCGUGCUAUUCCUAGAGAUAGGAAGUUCCUUCGGGACACGGGAUACAGGUGGUGCAUGGUUGUCGU